CAGUAGCCACGGUAAUACGAAGGGGGCUAGCGUUGUUCGGAUUUACUGGGCGUAAAGGGCGCGUAGGCGGGCGAUUAAGUCAGAGGUGAAAUCCCAAGGCUCAACCUUGGAACUGCCUUUGAUACUGGUUGUCUUGAGUCCGGGAGAGGUGAGUGGAACUGCGAGUGUAGAGGUGAAAUUCGUAGAUAUUCGCAAGAACACCAGUGGCGAAGGCGGCUCACUGGCCCGGAACUGACGCUGAGGCGCGAAAGCGUGGGGAGCAAACAGGAUUAGAUACCCGCGUAGUCCCUGUCUCUAUACA
rnacentral:rRNA from 1 species